GUGGGGAAUCUUCCGCAAUGGACGAAAGUCUGACGGAGCAACGCCGCGUGAGUGAUGACGGUCUUCGGAUUGUAAAGCUCUGUUAAUCGGGACGAAAGAGCUCUGUGUGAAUAAUGCAGAGAAGUGACGGUACCGGAAUAGAAAGCCACGGCUAACUACGUGCCAGCAGCCGCGGUAAUACGUAGGUGGCAAGCGUUGUCCGGAAUUAUUGGGCGUAAAGCGCGCGCAGGCGGGUUUUUAAGUCUGUCUUAAAAGUUCGGGGCUUAACCCCGUGAGGGGAUGGAAACUGGAAACCUAGAGUAUCGGAGAGGAAAGCGGAAUUCCUAGUGUAGCGGUGAAAUGCGUAGAUAUUAGGAAGAACACCAGUGGCGAAGGCGGCUUUCUGGACGAAAACUGACGCUGAGGCGCGAAAGCCAGGGGAGCAAACGGGAUUAGAAACCCCAGUAGUCC
rnacentral:rRNA from 1 species